AUUUAAUCCCCAUGUGUAUAAAGGCCAUACGCUGUCCGCCAGUGCACCACUUGAACCAAGCAGCCCCUAGACAGAGGGCAAGUCCUCCUUAACACACCCAGCUAGGACAGAAGUCAGCCAUUAGUGUCCCUCAACCAGCCUAAUCGCACCAGUGGGCAUCCUGGCAUCAGUUCCUGUUCAAACUGCUGCCAGAGCCAGGACUGCUGAGUAUUACUUCUCAAAUAAAUAGGCCUGAGAGCCUGCCCUCUACUGGAGGGAGGAGUCACGCACCUGUGAAUCUACACCUGAGAACGAACCAAGCCGGAGAAGAGGCAGAAAAGAAGAGAUAGACAGAAACUCAUUGAAACCGGGCCUAUAGGGUGAUGACCUCACCUGCUGGACUCUACUGGACAGAGAACUGAACCAAAGGAUAGUGACCAGAUAACAACUAUCUCAACAGACGUACAUUCACCUGCACAGGUGAGAGGAGCUUUUUACCAGAAUUCACUGGACAGGAAAACUCCAGUUAGUUUCAUAUUAAUGAGUUGACAGAUAAAAUUACUGUGAAAAAAUAGAGAUCACAUGUUAAUUAAUAUUGAGUUCUAGAGAAUGAAAUGAAUUGAUCAAAUGGAGAAAAAGUGUACUGAUAGUUAUGAAUUUUAAUGACCUUUGGACAGAGACACAUUUGAUUACACAUUCAUAGCAAACAGU
rnacentral:lncRNA from 12 species